CAUCACAGAGAUGCUACACGGUCAUUCUGCUGACAAGGAGUCAGUCUGAUGAGACACGUUGUCGAUCCCCUCAAGAACCAGAUGGCAGAAGUCCUAGAUCAAAGGGCAAGAAAUAAAAUGAGCACUGGAGACAAGGGCAUAAAACAAGUGUACUUGGCUGUGUGACUGGUAUCCCAAAUCAGUCAAGAGUCUAAUUUUUUCCACUUGGCAGUUCAUCUUGGUCUAUGCUUAACGUUACUCAGAAAAUUAAGUGGAUCUCUUCAACGCAAUGGCAACAGCAGUUACUGCAGAAGGUAGAGCUGUUAUUGGGAGUGAGUAUUCUCCCGUCAACCAUACGUAUCUCAAGCUGUGCUGGAAAGCAUCUGCCCACCUCAGAGGCCAGCCUGAAGAGAUUGAAGUCCAGACAGAAAAAACAUUUUCCUCCUCAUCCAUGAAAGCCUACAUGCCAUUCAUUCAACCAAUAUGGACUAUGUGACCAUGCACAAGCAGAUACUGCAUGUUUGUCAUGGAGUUUAUUACAUGUUUAGGAGACAAAUUUUUAA